GCUCACACCGUUUACUCCGGGAGCACGGGGAGGACGAGGGAAGGAGCCGAGGGGAAAGGAAAACGGUGGGGAACUGCGGACACUGUGGGGAGUUGGACAGCAGCAGGAGAGGGCGAGGAGCCCCUUGAGGGCGGUGUGAGGGGCAGGAAGGAAGGGCCUCCCCUCCUGGCUGGGCGCCCAUGCGGGAGGCCGGGGAAACAGCGUGGGCUGCUUCAGGGCUGGUGUUGGGAAGCCACGGUGCGGCACAUGGAGGGAGUGGAGAGAGGGCUCUGGGAGCGAUUCACAGGGGAUUGCAGUGGUGCUCGGGUUCCUCUUUCCGUGCUGGCCUUCGACCCGGCUUUCCUACUAAGCGCAUUUAAAAGAUAAAUAAUUUCUGUACGGCUUGGGCGCUUGAGGUUCAAACGUCCCCUCGCCCCUUCCUUCCCCUCUCCCUUCCUCGCCACGUUUGCUCUGCCCCAGGCUGGGCAAGGGAGAGGGUAGAAACACUGCAGUAACUUUUACUACCAAGAUGUCUCGUUCCCUCGAGAGACGGUGGGGUGACGAGGGAUGGCUGAUGCAGGAGGGGGAGGAGGAGGUCGUGCUGCCCGGCACGGCGGGCGGGAGGCUUGGCUGCGCUGCUGGGGCUCUGCCAGCCCUCGCCUCAUCUGCUUUUCACUUCGUUUUGGCACCAGCAACACGUUUACUCUCCUACCCGUGGUUUAGAACGCUCAGAUGGUGGUUUACUCUUCCCCCGUAAGAGUAUAUUAAAAACGUGUCUUGCCUUCUUAAAUCUCUUCAGUGUAGAGGAAGUCGUAGCUGCUACAGGACAGGGCAAACAAAAGACCUAGAGACAUUAAGAGGGAUGGCAAAGAAAAGAGGCUUGAUCACAAUAUACCUAGUCAAGAAUCCAUUUUUUUCUACACUUUAGUUUCCGCUUUCCUUCCAGAAAAUCAUGAUGGGUCCUUUCCAGCUCGGCAUGUUCUGUGAUUCUAUGGUUUGAAGUUUCAGUUAAUUAAGAUUUCAAACCCGCAAUGCACCGUGCAGUUCGAGAGGGCUCUUGCUCUGCUUAUACCAGGAGAGUUAUUCAGUGAUAAUUGCUUUUAGAACCUUCCCUUAAUUUACGGUUAUUUUUUUAUUUUUCCCGGGAGUGUCUCGAGAGUACUUUCACUUAAAGAAGAAGCGGCACUCAUUCGCGUUUGUGAACAGAAUAGGAGGUGGAAGCCUCUCCUUCCUUUCUGCGUGCGCUCCGUGGUUUAGGUGCCAGUCUCUCCCCAGAUUUUACACGGGGAGCUGCCGGGACCAGCCCGCGGCCGGGGCAGCCUCCCCUCUUCCUGCCCGGGUUCCCCGGCGCGUCCAUGCGGUGGUAGCUUGUAUGGACCGGUGUCUUCGCUCUCCCUCCCUCCCUCCGCCGGUGUGUACGUGAUCCGCUGCGAGUCGCUGCAGAUUCCGCCUCUUUGCGUCAUAUGGGCUGGGAGAAGCAUCCUCCCUCCCCCUACCCGCAGGAAUAACGGGGAGCCCCCGGGUUUACCUAGGAUUAUCCGAAACUCUAAUCGGGAUAAAAGGGAUUUGUUGCCAUCGAGGAGAAAAAUGUUGCAGUUCUUGAGAAAAAAAAAAAAAUAAUCGAUGCGUUUAAAUGGCUUCUCUUUUACCCCUUGGGGGGGCUACACUUCAAGUUUUAUCCAGUUUGCCCUCAGUGACAUAAAUUCCACUGCUGUAUGAUUCUAGGAGGAACUGAGAAUCAGAACAUCUGUCUUAAUGGUCUGGUGGCCAAAUCGCCAUUUUAAUUUAAAAGUGUGGCAGGGCACUGCCUGAAGCAGCAGUAGCGUGCUCAGCAAGAGGCUGAGCCCUGCAACUUGCUUCCGUGUGGCUGGAGAUUAUAUAAUGCAGCAGCAGAUGCAUCUCCUUUUAUAAAGUAUUAAUCUGCACUUGCCACUGUGUGAAUUAAGGCAUUUGAAGGACUUGUGGAAUCCAUGGGUAGCAUCUAGACUUUGCAUCUGGCAGAUUGCCAUAGAAGCAUGGAGGGUUCCAAAGUAACAGCCUGUGAAAGUUGCUGUCUAAGGAGUGGGGCUGUCACAAAGACCAAAAAAAGUAAACUGGAUGCCUUCCAAGCUGUUUCAUUGGCAGCAUUGUUGUCCCAGCUUUGAAGAACAAGGAAAUAAAACCCCCAGCGUUUUAGAACAUGAUCAUUUCAUCUGAAUCACACAACACAGUGUGUGACCAUAUGCCCUUACUAUCUUGGUAAGAGCAGAGAUGUUUAAAAUAAGCUGCCUCAAGUCAGUUUGAAGGUUAGGAGUUAAACAAGGGACACAAUGAGUCAUGCCCUGUCAAGGUCAUUUGCCCUUUGGAGGACAAAGUGCAAACGUGUGAGAGAAGUGAAGUCCUGAAGUACACGCAGAAGGAAAUAACGCUGCUGUUACUGCUAAUAUAAAAACAAGCUAUUCAAGCAAAGUGUAGGUGAGGCAAAGCUGCUGACUCAGAAGUAGGCAAAAAAAUUGUAGUAUUAGGAAAAAAAGUUCCAGUCUUUCGUUUUGUUUUGUUUUACAUUUGUCAGACACUAAAAGUCUUCAAAGUAUCUGUAAUCCAAACUGAACUCACAAACAACUGAGUAGAAAAAACAGCUGUUAAACAUAAAAUCUUAACAGGUGUCAGUAUUUAGAUUGGUCUGUAAGUCUGAGCAUAGAAUGAAAUAUACGUGAAAUUAUUUUAAAGUGAAGUUACUCACUUUGCUGUCAUUUUUACUCCUAAUAAUUUAAAAGUAGUUUUAUGUAAAUUACACAAGGCUUUCUAUUUAUAGGGAAUGUUAACUUUUCAGUUACUUCCCUGCAUUGGUGCUACUUCCUUGAAAGUUUCAUUUUUCUUGUUUUUCUACCUGUGGAAUUUCAGAAACUAUAGAAUAUAUAUGUGUCAUACUGGACUUUUUUUUGUGGAGUUAAAAGAAUUUAUCAGUGAUCUGUUUCACAGGAAAAAAGUUCUCUAUUUAGUACACUUAAUAUGUGUAAGUACUGAACUUGACAGUCUAUCAUUUCAGCUAGCCAGGUGUUAAAUUGUGAACUAAAAAUAUACUUUCCACCAUAAUCACAAGUACCUUGAGAGGCAAAAGAAGUUCUGACAAUCAAUUCUCAAUAUUUAUGGGUUGGUUCAGUUUCUGGACUAUUUCUAAAUUGUACUGGUUGCAGCUCAGGAAGGUGGUUUAAUAAAUGGCGUUUAAUAAGUCACUCGUCUCACUUUGUGGCAUUCUCUUGCCAUUCUGCUUCAGGUCAUGAAGUACUCUGGUGGAAUUUUCUGUGGGUUGCCAGUGGCUGCCACAGACAGUUUUGGCCACCAUAGGUCACUGACGUUCACACAGCCUCCAAACAACCUAUUCCGGGAGCGUGAUAAACUCAAAGAUCCGGUGUUGAGGAGGACAGCAGAAGUAAGGGAUGUAAUGGCCUGGAAUAUCAUAGCCCAUCCUGCUUAAGUAAGCAGCUACAUGUCUCUACGUUCAAAGCAUUCUAGGCUUUGCAAAGUUCCAAGGCUUAGUUAGCAGUAUAGAUAUACAACUCUUGUCCUGGUGACAUAGACUGGAAGAAGAAAUUUUGGUGCUGAACAAAUGAAAAAGCUCAACUCCUUCAGCAAAUGCUGGGUUUAAAAACAGCUUGAAAAGAACUCUAAAGAAACCUUUUGGAUUCCAGUGUUUUGGAAUAUCACAGACCAUGACUGUGGAUGCAAAGAUUUACAUAUUUAUCCUCCUGAAGCGUUAAUGGCUGAGGAACAUCAUAAGGCAUAUUUAAUAUAGUAGUGUGAGUGUAUGUGAUCUUGUCCUGGUAGCAAAGUUUCUUUUUCCACCAGAAGCUUCUCAACUAAUAGAGUAAAUAAAAUAAAUAUUUUUUUUAAAAAAAAGUCACAAAAUAAAUGUGAAUAAUGUGUAAAUAAAUGCUUUUCUUCUGUCAUCCACAAUAGAGUUUACUUGUUAACACUUAUGUAAUUUGAACACAAUCACAAGGAAUUUUUGUGUUCUACCCCCCCCCACAAAGGCACCUUUUCCAGCUAAGAACAGUGACUGCAAAUAGACACGCAUAUGAAAUACAUUUAUGUGUCUGUAGAUACAAUGUUAUAAGUACUAUUUGUAUGUAAAAUUAAGGAAUGUAGUUAUUAAUGGAUUAGUGUGACUAUUUCAAUGCAUUAAAUAUUUUUGAGACUUCAAAUCUUCUAUAAUUAUUCAAUGAUUGAAACUGGUCUCUUUUUAAUUUUUAAGAAGGUAUGUUUACAAUCUAGGUGUUCUGCUACUGAGUAUAUUUGUACAGGAGAAUGUUCUGAUCUAAUACAGUUAGUGUUUAGAAAAAUUGUGUAAUGUUUUCUUCAGGUAUCUAGAAUAAUUACUGUGAUUAUAUGCAAUAAAAUGUGAUGUAAUUAAAAGUAAACGGAACAAAUUCAAGUUGUAUUUUUAAUUACUUGUUCAAUUCUUGUAUUUGACUGCUUCUCUUUUGAUGAUUAUAGGCUCUCACUGACAUAACCAUUUACAUAUUUGAAUAAAGUCUUCCUGUUUGGUGAUGUUUAGACA